rnacentral:rRNA from 1 species
AUACGUAGGGGGCGAGCGUUGUCCGGAAUGACUGGGCGUAAAGGGCGUGUAGGCGGCGCUGUAAGUCUGGAGUGAAAGUCCCGCUUUCAAGGUGGGAACUGCUUUGGAAACUGGCGAGCUUGAGUGCAGGAGAGGUUAUCGGAAUUCCCGGUGUAGCGGUGAAAUGCGUAGAGAUCGGGAGGAACACCAGUGGCGAAGGCGGGUAACUGGACUGCAACUGACGCUGAGGCGCGAAAGUGUGGGGAGCAAACAGGAUUAGAUACCCUGGUAGUCCACACUGUAAACGAUGAAUGCUAGGUGUAGGAGGUAUCGACCCCUUCUGUGCCGCAGUAAACACAGUAAGCAUUCCGCCUGGGGAGUACGGUCGCAAGAUUAAAACUCAAAGGAAUUGACGGGG